AUCAGUCCGGAACUGUGUCAUUGCGCACACCUGGUCCCCAUUCCCACUGAUUGCGUUUGUAUAAAUGUGCCCUUUGUUUCAGACACUUGGGCUGUCGAUUAGUGGUACGAUGUCCGUUGGUCGUAUGGCCCCCUGGGACCCAGAGGCCUAGUGGAAGCUACAGAGAUGUGUACCCAGGAGUGUUUGGUGCUUGGCCACUCUGACAACUGCUGGAUGCCCCCUACCCUCGGCUCCUACAGCCAGCCCAAGUCUCCAGUGUCCAACUUCGCCACCCAGAAAGAGUGGGCCAAAGAGAAACUGCUCAACGGCCAUACUACGUUGACCCGGACCUGGAAGACCGAUAGUGGGCGGGACCAGUUUUGUGACAAGAAGCAAUUUGGCAGCGGGGAGGGACACUUCAGCAGCAGUGGCCACAUGGCUGACAUCCCAUUGGCUAGUUUGAAAUCCUACCAGCCUACCACUGGCCCAGACUCUUCGAAGGAACACCAGCUAUAAAAAGGAGCUCUGAUUGGAGGCAGCCAAUCUAAACAGGGCUGCGAUUGGAUAAUCUGAACAGGACAGAUGACGCAAGUUUCAAGAGUUUUUUUUCUUUUCUUUUUUUCUUUCUUGUUCGUACUAUUUGAUUUAAGUCGAUGCUUGUGCUAUGUGAUAGUUACAUGUACUACGUAGGCCACUAGACUAGUACUGAUGCAGUGUACUCUACAAUUCAACUUUUUGGCGUUGGAUGGAUAGAUGGAUAGAUGGCGCAAGAGAACGUCUCUUGGGAUUCCCUUUUGAUGGACGAAGCCCCGCCCCCAUAAACAAAACAUUUCCUCAUCACUCUGAUGGCUGGGAAAAAAGGGCGGUCGAAUCCACCUGGGAAACAGGAAGAACACGAUCCAGGCCACCUGGGAAACAGGAAGAACACGAUCCAGGCCACCUGGGAAACAGGAAGAACACGAUCCAGGCCACCUGGGAAAAAAACGGAAGAAUACCUUAAACAGAAAUUCAUAUACUCAACAGAAGAACAAAAAAAAUGAUCAACAAUAUUAUGUCUGACCAAUAUAUUCCAAUAUUGUGACGUGGUUGUUAUUGAGUUUGUUUGAGACUAUAUUAAUCUACACAAUCAAAGAAAAAUGGAGUUACAGGCCACGUCCAAAACGGUACCCUAUUACCUAUUUAGUGCACUACUUUUAACCAAGGUCCUAGGGCUUUGGUCAAAAGUAGUGCACUACAUAGGGGAAUAGGGUGCGAUUUGGGACGUAAUUAACGCCCCCCCCCCCACAUACAAACACAAUUCCAGUAUAGGAAGGCGUGCGUCGUUCUGAUUGGUAACACUGUUAGUGAACACUUGUCUAGUCUGUCAAUAGUCUGUGUGUUUUGUAAAUAGGACGUGUGAUACUAACCCAGUUGAUGUAAUACUGCCAUGGAUCUAGAACUCCCCUUGUGACAUCACAUGGAUCUAGAACGGCGAUCUGUGGCGUUCCCCUUAUGACAUCACAUGGCUCUAGAACGGCGAUCCGUGGCGGUCCCCUUAUGACAUCACAUGGCUCUAGAACGGCGAUCCGUGGCGGUCCCCUUAUGACAUCACAUGGCUCUAGAACGGCGAUCCGUGGCGGUCCCCUUAUGACAUCACAUGGCUCUAGAACGGCGAUCCAUGGCGUUCCCCUUAUGACAUCACAUGGCUCUAGAACGGCGAUCCGUGGCGUUCCAAUAUGGUUUCCAAUGGCAUCUUAUCACCUAUACAGUGCUGCUUCUGACCAGGAAGUGUACUAUAUAGGGAGCAGUGUGCCAUUUAGGAUGUGCCCUUGAACAUCUAAAAGAAUAAUUCACAUACUCAUAUAAGGCCUGUUGUGUUGGGGGGUAUUAUGGAAAACAUAUAUUCAACCGUUACAAAAUGAUGCACAAUGUUGACCCAACGUCUGAUUUCCUUUCAUUCAACUACUAUGGCAAACGUAUUUUUUCAAAAUAAAUUUUGUAUCAUGGACAUGAUGGGAAACAAACAGAUUGCAAACUUUUCCGCAUAAAAAAAAAAAAAUUAUUAUUAUUAUUAAAAAAAAAUAUUUUAAAAACUAAUGUAACUAUUCAA